rnacentral:rRNA from 1 species
ACAUCCAGCGAACUUGGCAGAGAUGCCUUGGUGCCUUCGGGAACGCUGAGACAGGUGCUGCAUGGCUGUCGUCAGCUCGUGUUGUGAAAUGUUGGGUUAAGUCCCGCAACGAGCGCAACCCUUAUCCUUUGUUGCCAGCGAUUCGGUCGGGGACUCAAAGGAGACUGCCGGUGAUAAACCGGAGGAAGGUGGGGAUGACGUCAAGUCAUCAUGGCCCUUACGAGUAGGGCUACACACGUGCUACAAUGGCGCAUACAAAGAGAAGCGACCUCGCGAGAGCAAGCGGACCUCAUAAAGUGCGUCGUAGUCCGGAUCGGAGUCUGCAACUCGACUCCGUGAAGUCGGAAUCGCUAGUAAUCGUGGAUCAGAAUGCCACGGUGAAUACGUUCCCGGGCCUUGUACACACCGCCCGUCACACCAUGGGAGUGGGUUGCAAAAGAAGUAGGUAGCUUAACCUUCGGGAGGGCGCUUACCACUUUGUGAUUCAUGACUGGGGUGAAGUCGUAACAAGGUAAGCGUAGCGAG